GAUGAAGAACGCAGCGAAAUGCGAUACGUAAUGUGAAUUGCAGAAUUCAGUGAAUCAUCGAGUCUUUGAACGCACAUUGCGCCCCCUGGUAUUCCGGGGGGCAUGCCUGUCCGAGCGUCAUUGCUGCCCUCAAGCACGGCUUGUGUGUUGGGCCCCCGUCCCCGGUUUCCCCUGGGGACGGGCCCGAAAGGCAGCGGCGGCACCGCGUCCGGUCCUCGAGCGUAUGGGGCUUUGUCACCCGCUCUGUAGGCCCGGCCGGCGCCAGCCGACACCCAACUUUAUUUCUAAGGUUGACCUCGGAUCAGGUAGGGAUACCCGCUGAACUUAAGCAUAUCAAUAAGCGGAGGA
rnacentral:misc_RNA from 1 species